rnacentral:misc_RNA from 1 species
UGACCGGUAUGGGAGAAGACUGCCACCC